rnacentral:rRNA from 1 species
UACGAAGGGGGCUAGCGUUGUUCGGAAUUACUGGGCGUAAAGCGCACGUAGGCGGCUUUCUAAGUCGGGGGUGAAAUCCUGGAGCUCAACUCCAGAACUGCCCUCGAUACUGGAAAGCUCGAGUCCGGGAGAGGUGAGUGGAACUGCGAGUGUAGAGGUGAAAUUCGUAGAUAUUCGCAAGAACACCAGUGGCGAAGGCGGCUCACUGGCCCGGUACUGACGCUGAGGUGCGAAAGCGUGGGGAGCAAACAGG